UGUUGCUUUCAUUGUUGUGUUCCUCCUGCUGUGGAACAGCUGUACCCAUCACCUGAACUAAACAUGGUACCCAUUCAGUGUCUCACCUCUUCACUGGGCAAGUCUGUUGUAAUCAGAUGUUGCUGAUAACAAUUAUUCAUGAUGGUUUCCUUUGUGCAGAUAAUGCCUGGCCUAAGUUCUGUACGAUACAGUUCGUGAGCUUGAUAUCUGUUCUGUCCCGUCUUCACUUUGAUAUCAACACAAUA